CCUACGGGUGGCAGCAGUGAGGAAUAUUGGUCAAUGGGCGGGAGCCUGAACCAGCCAAGUCGCGUGAAGGAUGACGGCUCUAUGGUUUGUAAACUUCUUUUAUACGGGAAUAAAGUGACAUACGUGUUCAUUUUUGUAUGUACCGUAUGAAUCAGCAUCGGCUAACUCCGUGCCAGCAGCCGCGGUAAUACGGAGGCUUCGGGCGUUAUCCGGAUUUAUUGGGUUUAAAGGGUGCGUAGGCGGAAGUUUAAGUGAGCGGGGAAAUGUUCGGGGCUAACCCCGGCCUGGCAGUUGAAACUGGGGGGCUUGAGUGGGCGGGAAGUAGGCGGAAUGCGUGGUGUAGCGGUGAAAUGCUUAGAUAUCACGCAGAACUCCGAUUGCGAAGGCAGCAUACCGGGG
rnacentral:rRNA from 1 species